GAGUACAAUUUUUCUCCUUGAGAACUCUGUUUUCUGUUUUGUGCAAUAUCUGUUGAGUCAUAGCCUGAACCACUGAUUGAGCACCUGGGGAAAGGACCCGGCAAUUCACCUGUGCAAUUGGAAAGAGUGGAGUCUGGCUCCACCCCUCUGAGUCCCCUAUUUAAGGGCUGACUGCCAUGGGAUUCCUGCACCGUAGUGGCUCUACAAAUAAUGAUUCUGGAAACAAAUCAAACAGUUGAAGGUUUGAGAGGCAUCACUGAAUUACAGAGGAAAUUCUGGUAAAUGCAACCUUUUCUUCUCUUUGACAGAGGUUAAUGAUCAUGUACCAUUAUCUAUAAUAUAGAAAUGACUGAAUGGUUUUUCAGUUGUUUAAAAUAUAACCUGAUGCUAACAGUGAGUAAAAACUAUGUUAAUUGUCAGCUUUGCCUCAUUUAGAAAUGAAACAAAAACUCUAUCUCAAAACUUCGUUCAUUACUUAAUAUAAACUUAAAAAUUUAGUAAGCCCUCUGUCUUGAUGAUUCUGCCUUCGUCCUCCUGUGAUAAGGAUAAGAAGAGAAUCUUGGCAUAUGCCUGGUCAGCAUUUCCUUUGAUGUAUGCCAAGUUUUAAACUAAAUAACAAGGAUGUUUUGCAUUUCAGGCAAGACCAUUAUAGCUUUAGCUGUCCUUAGGAAUUUCAUGUCACAGAUUUGACAUAAACAUAAGAAAUAACAGAAAUAAUAAUGUAUUUAUAUCUUAGUUGACUCAUCCCAAUAACUUAAGCUAGGUUAAAAUAAUGCAGUAGAAAUAAAAGUAUGUACCUUACAACAUAAAACACAGAAUAAGUGUAUCAAAACUUGUUUGUGGCUUCCCGAGGUAGGUGACUGGCUAUGCUGUUUCAGUGCACUGAAGAAAACCAUAAAUUCUAUAGUAGUAAUACUGUGCUAUAUAUAGGCCAAAGUAUUAAAAGGCAAGAUACCUGUUCACUGAAAAUAUUUUUGGAAGAAAUGCAAGGUAUUUUCAUGUAUGAAUUUGGAUGUUGUGGGGUUUCUAGUUGGUUUAUAAAAUCUUUUUGAAAAGCAGUUACUUAUUCGAAGUGUGUUCAAAUCCCUGAGUGCAAGUUUAUGCCAGAGGUAAUGAACAAAGCAUGAUGGAUUUCUAGCAAUUUGAACUAAGGACUGAGUCCUGGAGGGGUGAAAUGGUCUGAUGAAAACAUGAGUUUUAAUCAGCCUGACCACUGCUUGAUGUUGCAAUUACAACAAAAGUCUUGGGCUUAGCAGUCUUAGUCCUGUCAGACUUCAUCUGUAUGACUUUUUUUGUAAGGUAGCCAACUAUUUCUAGCCAACCUGCCCACUUGGAAAGAAUAUAUAUAAAUUCUGCAAAUCUUUCUAUAGAGAUUGUGAAGGAACUAAUUCUAUUUGCCUUAAUUCACUUCUGUUAAAUUGGGUUGGGGUGGGAAAAAAA
ensembl:lncRNA